AAAAUGUGUACUGUUGAAGGUAGGGACAAGUAUGGUGACCUUCCUUGAGACAGUUGGAUAUGAGCAGCAGCCCUUCCUCCUCUGUGUCGGUGAAAGGAAGAACAGCCUUCAGAAGUUUUACAUCGUCGUUGACCAGAAGGCCAUCCCAUGCAAGGCCCAAACAUCAGUGGCAGCUUUUGACGAGCUCUUUAAGGCACACUAUGUCUUCAGUGUGUCCUACCAUGAAGCGUUGUGUAACUUCUACACAUUCAUCCAGACCACUGUGUACGGUAUCGACGUGGGGAAGGCAAAGGAGUCCUCAAGAGUCAAGGAGAUUAGAGUAAGGCUGCUUAACAAAGACCAGGGGAGUGGUGCCGCCGGAGCGCAAGGGAGCAGCGCUCCCGCCCUUUUUGCAAUUUGAGAAUAUAAGUUAGUAGUUGAAUAGAAUAGAGCAGUAUCACCAUCUGCUCUAUUUCGCUCCUGAAACAGUAACUCAAGAAGAUCUAAGUGCGUAUCCCCAUGAAGCUGAUUGAGAUCAAAUGAUUGUCAUGCAGAUGCAGUUUGGACAUUUCACCGGUAAAACUCAAAUAAUUAUCGUUCACCAAUGACACUGAUGGCCUAUUUGUAAAUUAGAUACCCUCAAACACCAAGUUAGGCAUAUUACAUUUUAGUGAGAGAGUGUGGGCAUGGGGCAGAUGUUGCAGUUGGAGGAUGCAUUUUGUGCAUAUUGUAUUAUACUAUUAAUUACGUUACAUCUGUCAGUACAAACUUUGAUUGUAAAAUUAUGUAAUUGACGUUUUGGGGGUUGGCUCCCGAACCUAACAAAAACAAAUGGCACUAUACCACUUACAUAGACAUGUGAAUUGAGAUGUGUUUACAUGUUUUAUUUGUAAAAUACACUACAGCAGUUGUGCAUUGCUUUUUUGACAAGUUUCAUCAUGGUUUGUCAAUAAAAUGUAAUUGAAUCUGGACAGCAGUUGUUGUAGAUGAUAAUACAUCAGUCAAUUUAAAUAAAUCAAUUAACUAAUCUAUGGAUGUCACAUAACUGGAAAUACAGAUAUGCAUACAUUUAGUACAUUUCACUAUAUGUAAAAAAGCAAAAGGUAGGGGCGUGGAUCAGAAGACCAGUCAGUAUCUGGUGUGACCACCAUUUGCCUAAUGCAGCGAGAUAUCUCCUUCACAUAGUGUUAUUCCAGCUGUUGAAUGUUGUCCCACUCCCCUUCAAUGGCUGUGUGAAGUUGCUGGAUAUUGGUGGGAAUUGGAACAUGCUGUUGUACACUUCGAUCCAGAGCAUCCCAAACAUGCUCAAUGGGUGACAUGUCUGGAGUAUGGAAUUAUGUUUAGAUCCUUGCAACAUGGGGCCGUGCAUUAUGCUGAAACAUGAGAUGAUGGCGGCGGAUUAAUGGCAUGACAAUGGGCCUCAGAAUCUCGUCACGGGACCUCCGCAUUCAAAUUGCCAUCGAUAAAAUGCAAUUGUGUCUGUUGUCUGUAGUUUAUGCCUGCCCAUAACAUAACCCUCACCGCCACUCUUAUCAACAUUGACAUCAACGAACCACUUGCCCACAUGACGCAAUACACGCAAUCUGCCUGGUUCAGUUGAAACCGGGAUUCAUCUGUGAAGAGUACAUAUCUACAGCCUGCUAGUGGCCAUCGAAGUUGAGCAUUUGCCCACUGAAGUCGGUUUCCUCGCAGAAUUGCAGUCAGGUUAAGACCCUGGUGAGGAUGAUGAGUUUCCCUGAGACGGUCUCUGACAGUUUGUGCAGAAACUCUUUAGUUGUGCAAACCCAUAGUUUCAUCAGCUGUCCGGGUGACUGGUCACAGACAAUCUGGUGAAGAAACUAGAUGUGGAGGUCCUGGGCUGGUGUGCUUACACAUGGUCUGUGGUUGUGAGGCUUGUUGGAUGUACUGCCAAAUUCUCUAAAAUAACGUGGCAGGCAGCUUAUGGUAGAGAAAAUUAUUAAAAUUAUAAUUAUUGAAUUAUUAUUAUUAAAAUUAAAGUAUCUGACAACAGCUCUGGUGGACAUUCCUACAGUCAGCCUGCCAAUUGCACACUCUCUCAACUUGAGACAUUGCGGCAUUGUGUUGGAACAAAACAUUUUAGUGGCCUUUUAUUGUCCUCAGCACAAAAUGCACCUGUGUAAUAACCACGCUGUUUAAUCUACUUUUUUUGAUAUACCACACCUGUCAAGUGGAUGGAUUUUCUUGACAAAGGGGAAAUGCUCACAAACAGGAAUGUAAAACAAAUGUGUGCACAGUUUUAGAGGAAUAAGCUCUUUGGAAAAGCUGGACACUUUCUGGGAUCUUUUUC
ensembl:lncRNA